rnacentral:lncRNA from 1 species
CCGGCCGCCGUCGGUUCCGUCCGCACAUCUGGUUGAGGGGCGUCUCCUGUCGUCAUCUGUCAUUGUGAAUGGGGCCGUGCCGACGUGUCAGAGGGGACGAACGGGGGAAGUCGGUCCAGAGUCACUGCGCCGCGCGGUUGUGUGAGCAAGCCGUGGGCUAGGUACCGCUCCAGGUCAGACCAUGGUUGGCACUGAAGAGUGCAGCGACACUGCAGAACUGUGAACGAAGACGGUGAACGGCGAGAUGUGGUGACCGCUUGACUGACUGGUGCCCAAAGUCGUGAUCUACCGCUGGGGUCAGUGCGUGAGAAGCUGGACUCGGCAUCAACGGAGGACGCAGCUCGACGAGGAAGCUAUGCUGUGUUGAGGGACGUCUGCCGGUUACGACCGGAAGGUUUCCAACGGGACUUGGCAGAACCCAUAACAGCAGUAUGAACCCGGCAUGGAGUUAAUGCGUAAUUGCUCGCAUGAGCAACCGAAGAGCGACUUCCAGGCGAGGCUGCCUGGCAGAAUUCCUGGAGAUGCGCUGGGACAUGGAUCAUAGCAAGGUGGCUCUCAGCGGCAGCUGACCGCUGAGAUGUGUCUGAAACAGCCAGAAGGAAGACUCGAGUUGUGGAUCCAGGGCACUACUGAACGGAAGGCGGGACCAGCUGUAGGGAGACCACAGCAAAGCCGUCGUUCUCAAUCUGCUGAACAGACUCCUGCUGCAGAGGAAAAAUUGGGGUUCGACGUGUUAGAACUGGGGUUAGACCAGUUUCCAGUGCUCGUGUUCGUCACCUGUUGUUCGUCACUGCUGUGCUGCUGCUGUAUGUCAUGUUUGCCACCUGCUAAGCGUUCACAAUGUAUUUUAUGUGAAUAAUAGCUUUUUUAGUGUUUGUCUUGAUUUGUAACGAUUAUAUCAAGUAUGUUAACCUUUCAUCAAAUGAAGGACUCCACAUAACAAUAGUAUAGGCUGUAAUGGUACAGACACAUACCAUGCUUGGCCGACUGUUGUGUAUUUAUCUAGUCGUUGAAACGUCCUGAAAAUCUGGAAAUAAACAGGCAUGGCCAAAUGGAUUGGUUCUAAUUAUUUUCCUGUGCGGUUUUAUCGUUUCCCUAUUGCGGGGAAACAAGUGGACAAUUUUGUUUGUAUGUAAACAAGUAUGUGUAUACAAAUAUUUGUAUGUUUAGAGACAAAAUAAAUAGUCAUUGUCAAUUUU